rnacentral:tRNA from 1 species
GCCCGGGUGGCGGAAUGGCAGACGCUCAGGACUUAAAAUCCUGUACUCCGUAAGGGGUGUGUGGGUUCGACUCCCAUCCCGGGCA